UACGUAGGGGGCAAGCGUUAUCCGGAUUUACUGGGUGUAAAGGGAGCGUAGACGGCGAUGCAAGUCUGAAGUGAAAGCCCGGGGCUCAACCCCGGGACUGCUUUGGAAACUGUAUGGCUGGAGUGCUGGAGAGGCAAGCGGAAUUCCUAGUGUAGCGGUGAAAUGCGUAGAUAUUAGGAAGAACACCAGUGGCGAAGGCGAUUCUCUGGACUGUAACUGACGCUGAGGCUCGAAAGCGUGGGGAGCAAACAGG
rnacentral:rRNA from 1 species